rnacentral:lncRNA from 1 species
GCUUGCUUUUGGUGCGAUUGCAACAGGUUUACAGCAUGGAUACACUACUUCAACAUGUUAUUUCAACGAGUGUUGUGAUAAUACUUGGAUAUCACCGAAUAUCACUGGUCUGCCUUUGCAACUGAAUAAGAAACUGUAUGGUCAACAUCUUGUCAUAAGUCCUGUUGUGAAACACCUGAGGGGUCAUGUUGAAGGUAACCCGCAAAAAGCAACAGUGAUAUCGCUUCACGGACUUCCAGGAACGGGAAAAAACUUUUCGAGUAGAAUGGUGGCCGAAAAUAUGUAUGUUAAAGGAAUGGACAGCAAAUAUGUUCGCAUUCUGUCGGCAACAAAAGACUUUCCUCAUGAAAAUAUGCUAGAAGAAUACAAAGAAAAACUAAAACUAGAGAUCGAAACAGCGGGUAAAGAGUGUCCUAGAUCUUUAUUCAUUGUCGAUGAAAUGGACAAAUUACUUCCUGGUUUAACUGAUACCAUCCGUCCAUUCAUUGACUAUUAGGAUCACGUGGAUGGAAUAGAUUACAGACAAUUCUUGUUUUUCUUUUUAAGCAACACGGGUGGAGACGCUAUUGCAGAACAUGUUUUGUUAAACAGUGAACAAGGGAAAGACAGAAGGAAAUUAAGCCUGAAGGAAAUGGAAGAAGUUGUUCGGAUGGCUUCGUUUAAUGACACAAAUGGAUUAAUGCACAGCAGCAUUGUCAAAAACAGCCUCAUUACCGCAUAUGUUCCGUUCUUACCUCUAGAAAGAGUUCACGUAGAAAAAUGCAUCGUGGACGGACUAUUUGCAAAAGGGUUUUAUGAGUAUGAAUAUCAGGUAGACCAAGAAACAGUUGGGGCUAUUGCAAAUGAGCUUUUGUACUUUCCAAACGAUACACGUCUGUUUUCUACUACUGGUUGCAAACGUGUAAUGGAGAAAAUUGAUUUAAUAAUGCAAGAAGAUGCAUAAGACUUCAAGUGGAUGCAGACUGGAGCUUUCUGUACUAGUAAACACACGUUUUGAUUAACAUAUAAUAAUGUAAAACGCAAGUUGUAAAAUAUGCACGUGAAAAUUUUACACUGCUACGGCUUCGAAUUUUGUUUAGAUGUUAUCUUGAAGAAGAUAUUUGGAGCAGGAUGAAAGGGGAAACGUACGGCUUGAUAAAUCUAAACCAAGAUGGUUUGUCUUAACUUAACACACUCCCUUCCUCUCCUUUUACAGAUAGAAGUUGGACAAUGAAAGACUAUCAGGUAUUAACAUGUUCAUGUGGAAACAACGACAUUGGCCUGAUACAAAGAUACCGACAUAUAUAUAGUUAUUCAUUCUGAAAAUGCAUACAUUGUCAUCCGAAAUUUCUGUGUUCUGCAAUAUAUGUUUUGCGAUUACUAUUGAAAUGUUACAUUUAUCUUGUGUUAAUAUACAGGUGGUAGAUAUCUUUCGAAACAUACGCUGCAGAUUGAAAAGGAUUAUAUCAAGUAACACAUGUGUUUGCUGAGAGCUUUCAAUCAUUACUCUACCUUUGGAAGCAUUGUUUUGCCUGUUGCAAUUACUGGUCAAGACUUUCACGCAUAUUAAACUGUCAGCACCUGUAACAUAUUUCUUUAUGCACCAAUAGACAUUUAAAAAUACCCGAAUAUUUGAUAUACAUGAAUACAUUCUUCUAGUCGAAAGGAAAUGGUUUUAUGCAUCUUUUAUAUAAACUGAAAUAUUGAGGUUAUUUCCAACCAUUUUUGAUAUAUCCGAAGAAAGUAAGAAACAUUUUUUCUCAUUUAUGAUAUCCGUAUCUUAUUUAUUUGUUUUGCAUUAACAAGGUACAUGCAUUCAAUAAAAUCUGUAAAAAGAUCCUUUGGAAGCAAGGAAUGCAAUCACCAAGCAAAA